GAUGAGGCAGCCGCCUAUAGGAGAGCUUGGAAGGAAUGGUUCACAGCACAGCAGCCAACCUGGCAGGGAAGCCUCAGCUGAGCGGGAAGGAAGACUUGACAAGCUUUUUGGCAAUGCCCCACGGCUUACAGAGAUAAGCAUAAAGCAGAUGAGUAUGAAAUUGCCCCAUUCUCUGUUCGGCCUGGCCUCAUCCCUUGCAAAGAUGAUAAUCAGACUGAUUGCAUAUUCUCCAGUCAUUCCUAUUUUCUGGGAUAUCACUGUACUGUCCCUAAUUUUGCCUUUUGGGAAUGUAUUCGUAACAUCUCGUUAGUCUUGUUUCCUGGAGUUCAGGAUUCUUACCUCCUUCACUCCCAAGGUCUCUAAAAAGUAACUCUUUGAAUGGGAUGGAGGUAGAUCUGCCUGAUCUCUAAUAUACAUGUAUAUUAUAUAUACAUGUACAAGGCAAAAAGGUAAAGGUGAAGGACCCCUGGAUGGUUAAGUCCAGUCAAAGGCAACUAUGGGGUUGUGGCGCUCAUCUCACUUUCAGGCCGAGGGAGCCAGCGUUUGUCCACAGACAGCUAUCCAGGUCAUGUGGAAGCAUGACUAAACUGCUUCUGGCACAACAGGACACUGUGGCAGAAACCAGAGUGCAUGGUAAUGCCGUUUCCCACCACAGCGGUACCUAUUUAUCUACCUGCACUGGUGUGCUUUCAAACUGUUAGGUUGGCAGGAGCUGGGACAGAGCAAUGGGAGCUCACCCUGUGGUGGUGAUUCGAACCGCCAACCUUCCUAUAGGCAAGCCCAAGAGGCUCAGUGGUUUAGACCACCCGCAUCCCUGUACAUUUAUAUACAUUUAUACAUGUAUAUAAAUGCACAGGCAUGUAUAUGAGGGUACUGUGUGUAGAUGCUGCCAUUUCACAUGCUGGUGAGGCACAUUUUGAACUGUUGGUAACAGAUUGUAGAAGGUGUGUUUGUGUGUGUUUUCCCCUAGCAUAUUGUUUAAUUAAAAGAACAAAUGCCUUCUCGUGUUCUUCAACCCAGUGGAAUUUCACAUUGUUCCCCUUUCCCUCAACAGGCAUAAUCUUGCCUCCCCCUCCUCCACUCAACAGGCUCUGGGACAUUGGUCCAGUUUGUCCUAGUCUGUAUUACAGAAGUGUAUGGGAUUCUUCACAGCAGCCUUUGUUUUGCCAACAGCUGAAAAUGCUGUUUACACUUGACUUGAGUCUACAGCUCUGCUUGAACCUUGGAGUUUGGCUCUUUCAGGGAGAGAGAAAUGUGAAAUACCUCUUUCAUCACAG